UAUAGAGUGAGUGACCCAUAUUCGCCACAUAAUUCGUUCCUUCCACUUCCAUUCGACCUGCAUUCAAAUAUUUGGAAUUUUUAUGUAGGUUUCAGAAAUUUUACUUUAUGAAAAAAAUGGUUGGUAAAGGAAUUAUCUUCAAAACAUUGGUUAAUUGUUCUAAAAAUGGACACAAACUCAAGAGGAAAUCAAGUUUUUCGUGUAUCAUGGUGGACACAUUUUCGCCGCAAUGUAUGCCAUGAC
rnacentral:lncRNA from 1 species